UACGAAGGGGGCUAGCGUUGCUCGGAAUACUGGGCGUAAAGCGCACGUAGGCGGACUCUUAAGUCAGGGGUGAAAUCCCGGGAGCUCAACCGACCAGAUCGUCUUGAUACUGGGUAUCUCGAGUCCGAGAGAGGUGAGUGGAAUUCCGAGUGUAGAGGUGAAAUUCGUAGAUAUUCGGAGGAACACCAGUGGCGAAGGCGGCUCACUGGCUCGGUACUGACGCUGAGGUGCGAAAGCGUGGGGAGCAAACAGG
rnacentral:rRNA from 1 species